AUUGAACGCUGGCGGCAGGCUUAACACAUGCAAGUCGAGCGGGGUGAUGGUGCUUGCACUAUCACUUAGCGGCGGACGGGUGAGUAAUGCUUAGGAAUCUGCCUAUUAGUGGGGGACAACAUCUCGAAAGGGAUGCUAAUACCGCAUACGUCCUACGGGAGAAAGCAGGGGAUCACUUGUGACCUUGCGCUAAUAGAUGAGCCUAAGUCGGAUUAGCUAGUUGGUGGGGUAAAGGCCUACCAAGGCGACGAUCUGUAGCGGGUCUGAGAGGAUGAUCCGACACACUGUGACUGAGACACGGCCCAGGCUCCUACGGGAGGCAGCAGUGGGGAAUAUUGGACAAUGGGGGGAACCCUGAUCCAGCCAUGCCGCGUGUGUGAAGAAGGCCUUAUGGUUGUAAAGCACUUUAGGCGAGGAGGAGGCUCUUUUGGUUAAUACCCAAGAUGAGUGGACGUUACUCGCAGAAUAAGCACCGGCUAACUCUGUGCCAGCCGCCGCCGUAA
rnacentral:rRNA from 1 species